UUUCUUCUCCCUUUCUUCUCUGCCUCAUCUCCAAAACAACCAGAGAAACACAGACGGAGAAAAAAAAACAAAAGUAGAUAAACCGCUCCGCUCAUGGUGCGGCCCGCGACCCGCAACCCGCGAUUGCGGCGAUCUCGGCCGCGUUUUCAAACGCCGCUCCGCCACCCUCUUCUCGCGCGGGUGGUGGCCGCUCCGGCCGGACCGCCCGGGAUCGCGCCUUUCCCGGCCGCGAUUGAUAACUCUGUUUUCCACACGAUUUUAUUUUGAAGCAAAUUAUGGAUCUUCAUUAUCAUCUCUAGCCUUAGUCAUCACCAUGGUUCUCAAGUUUCUUAAAGUCACCUCCAUGCAGUCAAUAUAUCACCGUGUUGUUCUUGUUCGCGACCCGUUUUGCAUAUGUUGUCCACGAACUUUAAUAGAGAGAGUCAACCCGCUGGACCCUUAUCUCGCGCAGGGUGGUGGCCGCUCCGCCGGAUCGCGCCUUUCCUGCCGCGAUUGAUAACUCUGUUUUCCACACAGAUUUUAUUUUGAAAGAUUAUGGAUCUUCAUUAUCAUCUCUAGUCCUUAGUCAUCACCAUGUUCUCAAGUUUCUUAAAGUCACCUCCAUGCAGUCAAUAUAUCACCGUGUUGUUCUUGUU
rnacentral:lncRNA from 1 species